GUUCCUGUAGUGUAGUGGUUAUCACGUUUGCUUUACACGCAAAAGGUCUCUGGCUCAAAACCAGACAGAAACA
rnacentral:tRNA from 1 species